rnacentral:rRNA from 1 species
AGUAACGCGUGGGUAACCUGCCUUAUACAGGGGGAUAACAGUCAGAAAUGGCUGCUAAUACCGCAUAAGCGCACAGAGCUGCAUGGCUCAGUGUGAAAAACUCCGGUGGUAUAAGAUGGACCCGCGUUGGAUUAGCUUGCUGGUGGGGUAACGGCCCACCAAGGCGACGAUCCAUAGCCGGCCUAAGAGGGUGAACGGCCACAUUGGGACUGAGACACGGCCCAG